rnacentral:rRNA from 1 species
UACAGAGGUCUCAAGCGUUGUUCGGAUUCAUUGGGCGUAAAGGGUGCGUAGGUGGCGCCAUAAGUCGGGUGUGAAAUUUCGGAGCUUAACUCCGAAACUGCAUUCGAUACUGUGGUGCUUGAGGACUGGAGAGGAGACUGGAAUUUACGGUGUAGCAGUGAAAUGCGUAGAGAUCGUAAGGAAGACCAGUGGCGAAGGCGGGUCUCUGGACAGUUCCUGACACUGAGGCACGAAGGCCAGGGGAGCAAAACGGG